UUUGUCCUAUAUUUCUGUGCAAAUAUUCAAGAUAAAAGUUUAUGUAUCUGCAAGCUUAGCAUUCCCUGAAAGUAUUUUGGCCACAGAACUAGAAAAAAGUUCACAUUCAGUGAAUAUAAUGAUCUUCAUAUACACACACUAAAGAGUAGUAUAUCGUAAGCAAUGGGAACAGGUUUUCCUUGGGAAAACCUUUGUGUUAUAGGUGACUUUUUCAUUACAUUUUCUUGAAUUAAUGUGCCUUAUGAUGGUAAUUCAAAUACUAGAACAGCUGCUAUUCAGAUGUAAAGUAAUAUUGUGACUGCAACAGUUGCUUAAAGUUUGCUUCACUUUUUUAUUUUUCACAGAAAUCAUAAAAAAAUAUGAUCAGUAGGGACAUCAAGUAGCUAUUCAGUCAAGGCUUCUCUCAUUCUCUGCCAAAUCAAGGUGGAGUACAUUUUUGGCAGAAUUCCCUAAGAUUUCACUGAAGUCAUGAUUUAACUCUGAGGACCUGAGGCUAGCUGGGCAUGAGGAGCAGGCUGGAAGAGUGUGUGUAGCAGAACUGAUGGAGCUGAGGCUCAACAGGAAACUUUCCAUUGCUUCAGAAGUUAAAGGCAAGGCUCAAGAAUGGGAGAGUCUGAAUACCAAAUGCAAUGAGCAUGUAAACUCUUACUAACACCUUCAAAUAUUCUGCCUAGUGUUCCC